UCCCAGUGCCCAUAUAAUCAAUAAAACCCCCUCUGUGAAAUAAGAUUUUUUUGGGCUUUUUAUGGCCUUUAGGAAGGUUUUAAAAAUGUGAAACUCCAUGAAUUUAAAAUAUAGAAUAUAAAGAAUUAUACAUGUCUGGAGGUGUCCCGUGAACACUUUUACAGGAUUCUCUUAUACUAUUGUGGUCAAUCUGAAAAUUGCUUUUUGGGCCGCAUGAGUAUUUUUUGUUGCAGUACCACGAGUGGCCACCAUGACAAAAUGAUCUUCAAGGCAGAGGGGGCGGUGCUCUAUCCAGUGCUGAUAGUACAUCCAUGCUCAUGCUGAGGAGGUGCUUCCCUCCCCUUCCGCCUCCACGAACCACAUCCCCCCCCCACCCUGAAAAGCUUGUUAAGCCCCUGGUUGACACAGACGAAAACAAGCGUAGUCGUGCACAUAAAUCACACAAGUGAGUAAACAAUCAACAACAGGAAUGGCCAGCGUGGUAAAUCCUAAAGGAGCCUUCUUUAACUGCAAGUAUAGCCAAUACACUACUUAAAAGGAAAUAAUAUAUACAUCAAAUGCACAUUAUGUCCUGGGCAAAAGUGCUUAUCCACGUCGCUGUCAAGCAAAACACAAGUUUUGGUUUGUGUUCCUGUUAGUAAUAUAUUGUAUUAACUGUCCAUUUCAUUAUAAUAUUCGGAUUUACCUAAAUAAUUGAACAUUUUAAGCUCUGUUAAAGAGGGGGUGGAGGUGGGGUCCAAUUCUUUGAGCACUUAAAAUGUACUUGAAGGUAACGCCAUAGUAAUUUUCCUCAGUAACUUUACGUGUAUCAUUUGUAACUCAGUAAGUUACUUUUUGGGAGAAGUCACUAGUAACCGUAACUAAGUAAUAUUUCCAACACUGCCUGCAAUUCCUCCCACUACGUCUCCUCAUCGUUGCUUGACACUAACAAACGUUUGCAACCAGAGCAGCACACACACACACAGCAGCUCGGAGCAAACAUUGAUGAAAAGUAUGUUGUGCUUGUUUUAUAGUUUUUUCUUGUUGCAUAAAAAGAAGGGGUUUUGGGGAAGCAAACACAACCCAGCGAUCCACUCGGCAGAUUGACAACACUCGUUGGUGUGAAAGGCCUUUACACUCAGAAAGAUGAAUAGGUAACAAUGGCCACAUUUAAGUGUGUGCAAGUGCAGUUUGUUAGUAAUACUGUCAUUUGUAUUUGUCAUGAAUAAAAAAACAUGUUUAAACGUA